rfam:Gallionella sp. ShG14-8 contig00009, whole genome shotgun sequence.
GGGGACGACUUGGCUUCGACGUGGGUUACAAAGCAGCGUAGGGCAUACCGAGGACCCGCCACCUCGUAAAUCAGCUGGAAAAAACUAGUCGCAAACGACGAAAAGUACGCUUUAGCAGCUUAGUCUGCUAGACCUCACACCCUGCUGUCUGUGGAGGGGCUCAAAGCCGCAAGGCUGAGAUGAGUGAGGUAAUUUACACAGAAUCGUGCCGGUCAGGGUCACUUUGAUCGGAGCUAGAAACAAGGUGACUCGUCCUUUACCAGCCCGCCGGUUGGCGUGUACGGGAUCAAAUUAAAUAACAUGGCUAAGUAUGUAGAACUAUCUGUAGAGGACUUGCGGACGCGGGUUCAAUUCCCGCCGUCUCCACCA